rnacentral:hammerhead_ribozyme from 1 species
AUCCAAAUUACGGGUCCCAAAUAGGACGAAACGCGUGUCAUGGAU